AUGAAGGGCCAAUCACUUACCCAGAGAGAUAAAGACAAAGCCAGGGAUAGAGCAGGCCUGCCCAGGCUCCAGAAAGGUUUUUGGAAGUAUCCUCCAUCAGGAAGACGCCAGGGUUGCUAUGCUCUUUUUCACCAUGCUGACUGCUUUCCAGCUCCAGAUGAAUAGAAUUUGUGGACAGUAAUGAUCUGUCACCAGCAUUUGAGACUAUGAAUCUUCUGAUGUAUCAACUCCUGUGAAUCACAACUAUGAUUUAGUCUCUCCCUCUCUUUUUUAGCUUUAUUGAAAUUUCAAAAAUAUGGCAUGCAAUACAGGUGAUUAGUAAGAUAAAGCCAAUUUGUUGCUAAAGAUCUCAUAAGUUGCCAUUUAUCAAUAGUUUGGUAAAACCAGAUAUUGUUGGCUCACUGAGAAUAGAGCCAUUUAUCAACUGUGUUUGUGUACGCAUACAUGUAUCUUUUCCAUGUUUCUGAAAAUAAGAUAAAUGUUAUUUUUAAGGAUUCUAAUUACUAAAUUAUAACUCCAGACCCUUU
ensembl:lncRNA